ensembl:lncRNA
UGGAGUGGGUAGCCAUUCCUUUCUCUAGAGGAGCUUCCCGACACAGAAAUCGGACUCGGAUCUCCUGCACUGGCAGGUGGAUUCUCUGCUGUCUGAGCCACCAGCCCCACCCAAGGUCCCAUCGGAAAUUCUGAUGACUGAGCAGGAUUGUCUACUCUGACUGGGACUUGACCAACCUGUCCAGCGUCCUGCCCUCUGAGGAAUCCAGGACCAUAAUGCCAGCAUCAUCAUGCCUCCCACGUGUCGGGUACUGAGCACUUUACAACUGAGACCUCAAAUACUCCCAAAAACAGACAGAUGAGGGACUCUUGCUAUUGGAAUCCAGCCACCAUGCUGUGAGGAAGUCCAGGCCACACGGAGAGGCCACAUAUAAGGUGUUCUGGUCCAUAGCUCCUACUAAGUGCCAGCUGGCCACCAGCAUCAGCCAGCAACCAUGUGAGUGAGGAGACUUGCCAGAUGACUCUAGACCAUCUGACUGCAACUUCAUGAAGGACCCUGAAUGAGAACCACCCAGCUGAGCCUGGCUGACCCUGAGAACUGUGAGAGAUAAUAAUAAAAUGAUCAUCAUUGUUUCAAGCCACUAAGAUUUGAGGGGAUGGUUACACAGUGAUGGAUCGCCAGAACAUCCACAAAUAAUGAUGAUGGAGAACCUCUGCCUCUUGAGCUUCUGUAUUGUUGAAAACUGGAAGUACUCCAUCCUCCCAAACAUUCCUUCUCAGGUUCUAAAAAUAUAAUAUCUGGGUGAUUCAGUCUCGAAGUAGGAUUUGAAAGCAGAAACUCCAGUUUUCAGCAGUGCGAAGACAGGACCUCCCUGGUGGUCCAGUGGUUAAGAAACUGCCUGCCAAUGCAGGGGACAUGGGUUUGAUCCCUGGCUGGGGAAGAUUCCACAAGCUGCAGGGCAACUAAGCCCAUGCAUUACAACUAAGCCUGUGCUCUCGAGUGCACGGUCACUCUUGUUGCUACAAGAGAAGCCAUGGCAACGAGGAGCCUGGACAUUGCUGCUAGAGAGUAGCCCCUGCUCGCUGCAGCCAGAGAAAGCCCACGCGCAGCAGGGAAGACUCCGGGCAGCCAGAAAUCAAACAAAUGGAAGUGGGAAGACUGCUGCCUCACAGUCCCAAGGGAGUUCUUCUCUUGAACAUUUCUACUGGGAGGCAGUUACGAGGUCAUGGAAAGAUCGCGACUCAGGCGUCAGGUAGACAGUAUAUUGGUCUGUUCAGGAGAACAUAACAAAAUACCAGAGUCUGAGAGGCUUAUAACAACAAACAUUUAUUUCUCACAGCUCUGGAGGCUGGGAAGUCCAAGAUCAAGGCACAGACCUGCCUCUGGUUCAAAGCAGUGCCUUGAAGUUGUAAUCUCACAUGGCAGAAAGACACGUUUCAUAAGGCCACUAUCUCCUUCUCGAGGCUCUGCCCUCAUGACUUUUAAUAACAUCCCUGAGACUCCACUUCCUGACACCCUACCUUGGGGGGACAUAAACCAUCAGAGCAUCCAGGCACAAAUCUCAAUUCUGCCACCUCCUAGCAUCAAUCACUUUACUUCUUUGUGUUGCAGAGUCACAGUGACAAAAUGGGAACGCUUACACCUACCUUAGUGGAUUGGCAUGACAGUUCCAGAUUCUUUAUAACCAAUCUUGGCUCAGGCGGUAAAGCGUCUGCCUACAAUGCGGGAGACCUGGGCUCAGUCCCUGAGUUGGGAAGAUCUGGAGAAGGAAAUGGCAACUCACUCCAAUAUUCUCGCCUAGAAAAUCCCAUGGAUGGAGGAGCCCGGUAGCUACAGUCCAUGGGGUCACAAAGAGAC